UUACUUAUAUUAUUAUUGAGUAAAUAAUUUUUUUAAUUGGAAAUUAAAUGUAAUUUUUAUUAUACUAUAUAAGUA
rnacentral:tRNA from 1 species